rnacentral:rRNA from 1 species
AUUGAACGCUGGCGGCAGGCCUAACACAUGCAAGUCGAACGGUAACAGGAAGAAGCUUGCUUCUUUGCUGACGAGUGGCGGACGGGUGAGUAAUGUCUGGGAAACUGCCUGAUGGAGGGGGAUAACUACUGGAAACGGUAGCUAAUACCGCAUAACGUCGCAAGACCAAAGAGGGGGACCUUCGGGCCUCUUGCCAUCGGAUGUGCCCAGAUGGGAUUAGCUAGUAGGUGGGGUAACGGCUCACCUAGGCGACGAUCCCUAGCUGGUCUGAGAGGAUGACCAGCCACACUGGAACUGAGACACGGUCCAGACUCCUACGGGAGGCAGCAGUGGGGAAUAUUGCACAAUGGGCGCAAGCCUGAUGCAGCCAUGCCGCGUGUAUGAAGAAGGCCUUCGGGUUGUAAAGUACUUUCAGCGGGGAGGAAGGGAGUAAAGUUAAUACCUUUGCUCAUGGACGUUACCCGCAGAAGAAACACCGGCUAACUCCGU